GUAUCGAUAGUUUAGUGACAGAGCGGUGGGGCAUUGACCUAUGCGGUCCAGGUUUGAGCCCCGGUCGAUGCA